rnacentral:rRNA from 1 species
GUACCUACGGGACGCAGCAGUGGGGGAUAUUGCACAAUGGGGGGAACCCUGAUGCAGCGACGCCGCGUGGGUGAAGGAGCGUUUCGGCGCGUAAAGCCCUAUCGGCAGGGAAGAAGAUGACGGUACCUGACUAAGAAGCCCCGGCUAACUACGUGCCAGCAGCCGCGGCAAUACGUAGGGGGCAAGCGUUAUCCGGAUUUACUGGGUGUAAAGGGAGCGUAGACGGAAUUGCAAGUCUGAUGUGAAAAUCCGGGGCCCAACCCCGGAACUGCAUUGGAAAC